AUUGAACGCUAGCGGGAUGCUUUACACAUGCAAGUCGAACGAGUGGCGGACGGGUGAGUAAUAUAUCGGAAGUGCCCAGUAGCGGGGGAUAACUACUGGAAACGGUAGCUAAUACCGCAUACUAUCGGAUAACCCAUAUGGGAUUAGCUAGGUGGUGAGGUAAUGGCUCACCUAGGCGACGAUCCCUAGCUGGGCUGAGAGGAUGAUCAGCCCCCCCGGGACUGAACUGCGGCCCAGUCUCCUACGGAGGCGGGAUAGGGGAAUAUUGCACAAUGGGCGCAAGCCUGAUACAGCCAUGCCACGUGUAUGAAGAAGGCCCUAGGGUUGUAAAGUACUUUCAGUCGUGAGGCGUUACCGACAGAAGAAGCACCGGCUAACUACGUGCCAGCAGCCGCGGUAAUAC
rnacentral:rRNA from 1 species